GACGAACGCUGGCGGCGUGCUUAACACAUGCAAGUCGAACGGAGUGGCGAACGGGUGAGUAACACGUGGGUGAUCUGCCUUGCACUUCGGGAUAAGCUUGGGAAACUGGGUCUAAUACCGGAUAGUGCAAGAUGAGCUCGCGGCCUAUCGGAUUGUUGGUGGGGUAAUGGCCUACCAAGGCGUCGACGGGCAGCCGGCCUGAGAGGGUGUACGGCGUCAUUGGGCCUAAGGUACGGCCCAGAGGCGUACGGGGGGCAGCGGGGGGGAAUAUUGCACAAUGGGCGGAAGCGUGAUGCAGCGACGCCGGGUGGGGGAUGAAGUCCUUCGGGUUGUAAACGCCUUGCGGCAGGGACGCGGUACCUGUAGAAGAAGCACCGGCUAACUACGUGCCAGCCGCCGCGGUAAUAC
rnacentral:rRNA from 1 species